UACGUAGGGUGCGAGCGUUAAUCGGAAUUACUGGGCGUAAAGCGUGCGCAGGCGGUUCUUCAAGUCCGUUGUGAAAGCCCCGGGCUCAACCUGGGAAUGGCAGUGGAAACUAGGGGACUGGAAUCUGGCAGAGGGGGGUGGAAUGCCGCGUGUAGCAGUGAAAUGCGUAGAGAUGCGGCGGAACACCGAUGGCGAAGGCAGCCCCCUGGGCUGAGAUUGACGCUCAGGCACGAAAGCGUGGGGAGCAAACAGG
rnacentral:rRNA from 1 species